AGAGUUUGAUCAUGGCUCAGAACGAACGCCAGCGGCGUGGAUUAGGCAUGCAAGUCGAACGUGAUCCGUAGCAAUACGGUGAAAGUGGCGGAAGGGUGAGUAAUGCAUAGAUAACCUGCCCCCGAGUCUGGGAUAACUCCGGGAAACUGGAGCUAAUACCGGAUGGGGUCGCUGGACCGCAUGGUUUAGCGACUAAAGGA
rnacentral:rRNA from 1 species